rnacentral:rRNA from 1 species
GAUGAACGCUGGCGGCGUGCCUAACACAUGCAAGUCGAGCGAACACACGAGAAGCUUGCGCCUCUAACGGUAGCGGCGGACGGGUGAGUAACACGUGCAUAACCUACUUAUUAGACUUGGAUAAUAUCGGGAAGCCGGAUCCAAUACCGGAUAAUACAUUGUACGGGAGGGUUCAAUAGUGAAUGACGGUUUUCCCGUCACUUUGAGAUGGAUCCGCGCCGGAUUAGCUAGUUGGUAAGGUAACGGCUAACCAAGGCAACGAUGCGUAGCCGAUCUGAGAGGAUGAUCGGCCACACUGGAACUGAGACACGGUCCAGACUCCUACGGGAGGCAGCAGUAGGGAAUCUUCCGCAAUGGGCGCAAGCUUGACGGAGCCACGCCGCGUGAGUGAUGAAGGUCUUCGGAUCGUAAAGCUCUGUUAUUAGGGAAGAACAAAUGUGGAAGUAACUAUGCCCGUCUUGACGGUACCUAAUCAGAAAGCCACGGCUAACUACGUG